CUUAUAUAUCCUUCCCCAUUGGUGUUUUUUAUUUUUACUUUGUUUGGUGAAUAUUAAAGCGCUUAAAACACGUUCCAACAGAAUAAUUGUUUGACCUUUUUAGUUUAUCUGAUUUUUAAUAUCAAUUCUUAAAAACAUCUCCUCAAUCUUUGCGUAAUUUGUCUUUUCCUAAUGCAUCGGAUAGAGAUAGAUUCUUCUGAGUUCUUGCAUGGUUCAGGUACUUUCUA